ACGCACGCUGGCGGCGUGCUUAACACAUGCAAGUCGCACGGAAAGGCCCUGCUUUUGUGGGGUGCUCGAGUGGCGAACGGGUGAGUAACACGUGAGUAACCUGCCCUUGACUUUGGGAUAACUUCAGGAAACUGGGGCUAAUACCGGAUAGGAGCUCCUGCUGCAUGGUGGGGGUUGGAAAGUUUCGGCGGUUGGGGAUGGACUCGCGGCUUAUCAGCUUGUUGGUGGGGUAGUGGCUUACCAAGGCUUUGACGGGUAGCCGGCCUGAGAGGGUGACCGGCCACAUUGGGACUGAGAUACGGCCCAGACUCCUACGGGAGGCAGCAGUGGGGAAUAUUGCACAAUGGGCGGAAGCCUGAUGCAGCAACGCCGCGUGCGGGAUGACGGCCUUCGGGUUGUAAACCGCUUUCGCCUGCGACGAAGCGUGAGUGACGGUAAUGGGUAAAGAAGCACCGGCUAACUACGUG
rnacentral:rRNA from 1 species